rnacentral:lncRNA from 1 species
AUGUUAAAGAGUAAUUUCAGUACAGUUUCUCUUUCACAGUUAGUGGAGUUUUCCUCAAUUUUGAUAGUAUUGACUGACUCAUCUGCAGACUGGGCCCUUGGGAUUACCUCAGUAUCAGCAUGCUUCUGCCAGGUAGUUCGUCUGUCAAAAUGGAAUAAUUUUUGUCUGACCUACUUAAACAUUUCCUAUUCAUGUCUAUAAGGCACCAUUGCUUGAACUUAAUUCAUUAAUUCUAUAUAUAGAUAUCACAUGGAUAUGCUAAUACUUGUGAUGAAUGGAGAUGUCCAAAGCAUGGGUGAAAUAUAUAUAUAUAUAUUAAUUUUCUCUUUAAGUAUUAUUUCUUGCAACAAGAAAUCAGGUAAUCGGAAAGGUAGUGUCUGUUUCUCAUAGCUCACAGCUGAGGUUUAAGUAUGCAAAUAGGACUUAUACCAUUAUAGCAAUUAUCAAACUGUAAACUUGAUAAUGUGUUUAUAUACAUAUGUGUGUCUCUGUAUAUACGUAUAAAAUGUUGCUAUUUUCAGGCAGCAAUUCAACAUAAAACAAAAACAAAAAAGAAAGUUCCCGAUAUCUAAAUGGAUUUUAUAACUUUCAAAAUUACGCCGCUGUUUUUUCUUUGCAUGGAGGUUGUCACUGUAGGCAAUUAUAGGGAUAAGGUAUUUUUUGAAAAAGUUUCAGACAAAGUAUCAACUUAGGUUACUUUCUGGAGACAUCAAUUUCUGAAAAUGCUGACCAUGGCUGGUAAAGCAGUCUAGUUUUCAAAGCAGUAACUGUUGCAUAGUGCAGCCUUUCAUAGAAAUGUGGACAGAUAGUCAUGAACUGUUUGAGAAGAGGGCAAAAAGAAUUACCAGUGAAUUAAAUGAAAAUUAACUUUAUACUUUCUCAGUUAUUUAGCAACAGAAAUGUUUGGAAUGUUCCACCAAAUAUUUUUGAACAUCUAUUCAAAGGACAGUAGGAAUGAAAAGUUUUUAACAGGCGUAAUAAAUUUGUAGUGUUAAGGGAUAAAUUAUACCA